rnacentral:rRNA from 1 species
GAUGAACGCUGGCGGCGUGCUUAACACAUGCAAGUCGAACGGAAAGGCUCCUGCUUGCAGGGGUACUCGAGUGACGAACGGGUGAGUAACACGUGGGUGAUCUGCCCUGCACUUCGGGAUAAGCCUGGGAAACUGGGUCUAAUACCGGAUAGGACGAUGGUUUGGAUGCCAUUGUGGAAAGUUUUUCGGUGUGGGAUGAGCUCGCGGCCUAUCAGCUUGUUGGUGGGGUAAUGGCCUACCAAGGCGUCGACGGGUAGCCGGCCUGAGAGGGUGUACGGCCACAUUGGGACUGAGAUACGGCCCAGACUCCUACGGGAGGCAGCAGUGGGGAAUAUUGCACAAUGGGCGCAAGCCUGAUGCAGCGACGCCGCGUGGGGGAUGACGGCCUUCGGGUUGUAAACUCCUUUCGCUAGGGACGAAGCGCAAGUGACGGUACCUGGAGAAGAAGCACCGGCUAACUACGUG